rnacentral:rRNA from 1 species
GGGUAAUCUGCCCCGAUGACCGGGACAACCCGAGGAAACUCGGGCUAAUACCGGAUGUGGUGCCCAGACUCAAGUCUGGUCACUAAAGGUAGCUUCGGCUUCCGCAUUGGGAGGGGCCCGCGGCCCAUUAGCUUGUUGGUGGGGUCAAGGCCUACCAAGGCAACGAUGGGUAGCUGGUCUGAGAGGACGAUCAGCCACACUGGGACUGAGACACGGCCCAGACUCCUACGGGAGGCAGCAGUGGGGAAUCUUGCGCAAUGCGCGAAAGCGUGACGCAGCAACACCGCGUGAGGGAAGACGGCCUUAGGGUUGUAAACCUCUUUCAGAUGGGACGAAGGUUGUUCGGUGAAUAGCCGAGAUGAUUGACGGUACCGUCAGAAGAAGCUCCGGCUAACUACGUGCCAGCAGCCGCGGUAAUACGUAGGGAGCGAGCGUUGUCCGGAAUCAUUGGGCGUAAAGAGCAUGUAGGUGGAUCAAUUAGUCUG